UACAGAGGGUGCAAGCGUUAAUCGGACUUACUGGGCGUAAAGGGCGCGUAGGUGGAUACUUAAGUUGUGGGUGAAAAUCUUGGGCUUAACCUAAGACUUGCCUGCGAAACUGGGUAUCUUGAGUACAGUAGAGGGAAGUGGAAUUUCCGGUGUAGCGGUGAAAUGCGUAGAGAUCGGAAGGAACACCAGUGGCGAAGGCGGCUUCCUGGACUGAUACUGACACUGAGGCGCGAAAGCGUGGGUAGCAAACAGG
rnacentral:misc_RNA from 1 species